GACAGAGGGUGCAAACGUUGCUCGGAAUCACUGGGCGUAAAGCGCGUGUAGGCGGCCAGGUAGGUCCGUUGUGAAAACUCGAGGCUCAACCUCGAGACGUCGACGGAAACCAUCUGGCUAGAGUCCGGAAGAGGAGAGUGGAAUUCCCGGUGUAGCGGUGAAAUGCGCAGAUAUCGGGAGGAACACCAGUAGCGAAGGCGGUUACCUGGAGCUUUGCUGACGCUGAUGCGCGAAAGCGUGGGGAGCGAUCCGG
rnacentral:rRNA from 1 species